rnacentral:sRNA from 1 species
ACCUAGCCCUGAUUGCAGCGGCAUCCUUUUUUGAGGAGGAACGACGAAAAAAAGAUAGAGCGGAAAGCAGGUGUGAUC